rnacentral:lncRNA from 1 species
UCUUGCCCUUCCACCUAGUUUCCAUGUUAUGAUGCAGCAAGAAGGCCCUUGCCAGAUGUGGCUCCUGGAUUGUGGACUUUUCAGCCCCCAGAACUGUGAGCCAAACAAACUUCUUUUGUUCAUAACUUCCCCAGUCUGUGAUAUCCUGUUACAGCAGCAGAAAAUGGACUAAGACACCCAGGGAUGUACCUGGAACCUGGAAAAAGCUGUUGGAAGGUAGCUAGAGAAGAGCUCAUCACAGCAGUAUAAGGACAAUCUCUGCUCUUGUACGCUCAGGAAAGGAGGCACUGAGGGACUCACAUGAAGCUACUCUGUCAGCAUUCUAAAACUUCUGACAUUCUUUUCUAUGAAGAUAAUUGAAUCACCAAAUUUGAUGAAAUGUUCCCCAAAUAUCAGGUGAAAAAAACUCAUCUAAACCUUUGGACUUGGAAUUGCCCACAUAGACCACAUCAGCAAUGGAAGACAGAGCAAAUAACAUGUCGGUUCAAUGUAUGAAGGAGCUUUUCUUUCCCCUGCCCCAACCCUCAGACAGGUAAAUCUGUGAAAGCUCUAUUUUGAUUCUUUUUAAAUUAUUUGUUUUACAUGUUUUGUGUUUUAUGUUGGCUGAUUCCAAAUGGUUGAAAUAGUGGAGGUCCAACAACCAUUUUCACAGUGUAAUCUUCAGAAGUUCAUCCUUUGGGUUGUAAUUUCAUGAUAAGGAGGAGCAAGAAGAUGCUUUUUGUAACUCAAAUAGCAUCUUCUGAGAAAGGUCUCUAUUUUCACUUGUGUCUUAACUUACAACUGUGUUCAACUCUAUUUCCUUUCCUUGCUUUACAUUUUUUCUUAUGCACCUAUAAUUAUCCAAUUUACUAUAUAUUUUAUAUUUGUCUGUUAUUGUCUGUUUUCUCCACUAAAACAUAAACUUCUUGCAGGAUUUUUGUCUGUUUUUCUCACUGUUGAAUCCCAAAAGCAAAGAAGAAUACCUAGCAUAGAGUUAGUGUUCAAGAAACAUUUGCUAAAUGGAUGAACACCUCUUCAUUUUAUGAGAAAUGAAUCUUCCCCAAGAAGGGGCUCCCGGGUGCAUCUUGUGUGUAGACAUCUCUAUGUCCCCAGGCUGCUGUAGAGCUGAGUCAUCUUUGUGCCCACACCUGGGAAGCAGGACCCUUGUUCGUGUUUCUUUGGCCUUGGGCAUGUCAGUGAGUAAGGAGGAUGUGUGGGAUCUGUGUCCAUAUUUACGUAAGAAAGCAAUAUAGCCUACUGCCCCUUUCAUUUUCAGCAAGUGUGUGUUUACACUGGCCUGGGAUCUACUAUAAAGUUUAAUGUUUGGUUAUACAUUUAUUUCUCAGCUACUUUUGUGAAUAAACAUUUUCUAAAACAUAUCUAUUUUAAAAGUGACAAUGUUUGAAUGAAAGAAAGAGGAGGAGUGAAGCCUGGUAGUUAAUUUGCAGAACUUAGAGCCUGAAUUUUUUGGGUUGGAUCUUUGAUUUUACCAUUCAUUAGUUUUGUGAUCUUCCUCAAUUUCCCAAUCUGUAAAAUGGAAAUAAUAAUAGUACCUACCUCAUGGGAUGUCAAGAGUAAAUAUAAAAAAUGUGUGACACCCAGGAAUGACUAUAUAAGUACUAGCAGUUAAUAUUAUUUAUUAUUAUUAUUCCUGCUUGAAUAAUCACUUUGAGCUAAAUCACUUUGUUUUUACUACUAGCAAUAAGCAUGCUUAAAUACUUUUAAUGUUAUUAUAAUUUGUAUUAUAGUAGACUAAUCUGGAAUUUUAUUAAGCAGAAUUCCCUCUAGACAGGCAUCUAUGCAUACGGAGCAAAAAAUGAUGUAUAUAAUAAUAAGUUUGAGGCACUGAAAGAUCUUGAAUGAGCUUCUGAAUCAUCAGUUACUGUAUCUUUGGGGAACACCAGAGAAAGACUCUCCUUACCAUCCUCACUGCAACUAAACUUCGGGACCCUGGGCUUUGGGUUCAUGGUCUCGCCACUGAAAAGGUUCCCUCCACACUUUUGGAAUUGUGCACCCAUUGGAACCCUUGAGGUAAAGCUAACCAGAGAAAUUUCUCCCAAGAAGAAGAAGAUGGCAUCCUUGAAGUGAACAGCUUUUCCCAAGUUCACAGAGUAAGACUUCUACUAUCAUGAAACUCUUAUCUUUGAAUAUUUUUUCUUGCUUAUAUCUCUACUAACAAUAGAAGUGGAAAAAGGGUCUGUUAUGUGCACUUAUGGGGUAUACUUUUAUUUGUGAAGAAGUUUGCAGCCAGCCUUAUACAUGGAUAACCUUCUACUUUGAUAGAGAUGAAGGCCCAAUGCAGGUAAGAAACUUUAGUGGUACAUAUGUUGCCCCAUAAUCACUCAAAAACAAAAUAUUGGUUCAUCCCUCUUAACCCACAUCAUGGGUUAAAGAGAACAUUGCCAGGGGGUCUUCACUCUCCUAGAAGGGCAUCAUUUGUUAAGUCCUUUUUCCAUGGCUUAAAGUAAAGGAAGCAAUGAUUAGAAAUGUAUCCCUCAUGAUAGGCUCUAUAGCAAAUCUACUUUAAAGGCUAUCGUUACACAACAGAUUUUAAAUUCUCUUUGAAAGUUAUGCUAAAUAGAAUUGGCUAAACAAAGAAGUUCUUCUGCAGCUGCUGACACUUGCGGCCUAUGGAGAAACAGGUCAAAUGCAGAUUAUAAAAAUUCAGUGUAGGGGAUUAAUGAAAAGACCACUUAGUCAAGUGAGUAGACUCUUCAUCUAGCUCAUUCUUUAAACUAUUUAAGUGUAGGUGGUUUGGUUUCUAGGGACCCUGGUUAAGGAGCAUACUCUGAACUCUGGGUAUUUUCCUUCCAGUAGUGAUAAUAGUAGUCUCCUUGGUGCACUGUAUUCUCUCAAAGGUUUUAAAUGCUUGCAUGCAGCCAUCUCUAGAACAUCAAAUGGUCUCUCUUCGACUGGAAUGACAACAGCUGAAAGAAAUGUUCAACCAUGAGGACACCAUACCUAUAAAUGAUGUGCUGAGACUGGAAACCCAAAAUGUUGGUAACUGAGAAGUGGCACUAAGGCCCUAAGUUUUGGUUGCACACUCACCUAAGUGAGAACCUGACCAAAAAGGGGGGAUUUUUAAAACAAAACUCUGUGAGGCCAUUGUUUUGGACUAAGCUCAUGCACUCAUGCCCUGGGCCCCAACAGACUAAAGCAAACACAGAUGGAGUCAUUUGUGCUAAGACUUUAAGGAAACGCUUGGAUUCCACAACAGACUAGCUUUUGUUUUUUUCUUCUGCAAAUCUCUAUAACAAACAUUUCUGACAACAUAGGUAUCCACCCCCUGAAGUUCCCAUUAAAUCUUUUAACCAAAUUCAUUUCCUCUCACCUAGAGACCAUCAAGCUUCAGAUGAUGAUGCAACAAAGGUUUCAGCCAGUUCCAGGUGAAGACACCACCCUUGGACAUCAAGAAGCUACCCUGCCUCCACUAGAUAGAGCAGGGAGAGUUCUGUGAUCCCCAAUAGGGCCUUUGUAGACGCUAUCCCUUUGUGGAGAAGACUCUCAACACCCUUCAAAUACUAUGAUCUCAUCAGGAAGGCCCUCCCUGACCACCUAUGCCUGGAACUGUUCUGGGUUUGUGAGACACAGUUGGGAAGAAGACAGACUUGAGCACGGGCAGCGGUGGUUGCCAUGAAGAUGUGUGAGAAGACAGGCCUGCCUGAAAAUGCUGCUGGUCCUGGUACUGUCCUGCCCGCAACAGCACGCACACUCCAGUCUUGCCUUUUCUUGUGCUUUUUUUUCCAUUUCUUUUUAAAGAAAUCUCAUUUCCCUUCUU